UUAAAUGAACCAUCCCAAUCCGUUGAUGAGGAAACCUUUUUAGAAAAUCAAGACCCAUUCUCUGCGACUGGGGCAUCCACGAUUUGACAGCUGCAGGGGCUUCUCGUCUCUCUAUUCAACAUUGUAAUUUUAGAUAAUAUCCCAAGCGUUCACUCUCCUCGGCAAUUUGUACAUGAAUAACCGAAUAAUUUCAUCUUUUGUUUCGUCUUUGCCACUUCAAAUCCAAAUAAAGAUGCCUUUUAGUAUUAAAAGUGGUAGAAAAUUACAGGUAAUUAUCUUUGACGGUAAAAACGCUGUAAUCAGCGGGCUACAUCAAAAAUUACCCUAAUUAUGUCUGCAUUUAUGAGAAUGGAAAAAAAACCCUCUCUUGGAUAAAACCCAUAAAUUGUCCCAAAUAUCUCCUUCAUAUUGAACGAGACUGCAGCUGGAUGCUUUGUUCAGAAUCGAUCCUGUGGCGAAAGGCAUUCAGCGUCUCGCAGAUCAAGGCAGAGAGAAAGGGGAAAAACAUUUUGUCAAUACCUUAAUAAUUGAGCUAGAGAAUGACAAGAUGGACAAGAUGCGGCUCUAUUCUGUAGGAAAAACACUUUGAGAAACCACCAUCUCGGGAAAUUCAGCGGCGACUACCCAGGUGAUCCUGCCUUCUACAUGCGUCAGGAGUUGUUUUGUUAAUCGAAAUAAAGGGUGGAUUGCGUGAUCCAAGGCACGGAGCGGCUCGCUGUUUCCUCUCAUUACAAGACGGCCUUACCAGCGAGGAGGAAUAUGCAUGAAUACAUUAAAAGGUAAUGAGGAAGCUGCCAGGAGAGGGUCGUUCAGGGCAGAGCUUGGCGUUGGAGAGCUUUCAGAGCGUUACGUGAUGGACUUGUCAUCUCAGCACGAGAAGCAAAAAGAGGUGGAGUUUAACGGCAUUACUAAUGGCAACUGUUGCCAGGUCUUCCUUGAUGCUGCUUAUGUUGGUGCAGAAGCCUCUCAAUUGGUAUUGAAUGUCCCAACCCUCUACAAUGCGAGUAAAUCAGUCGCAUAUGCGACCAAAUUUCACGAGAGGCGACUUUAAAGCCCACCCUGUGGUGAAAAUCAAGUUUUUAAUGUUGUUUAUAUGUCUAUGUGGUGUUUUUAAAAUGCUUUAAAGGAUUAGUUCACUUCAGAAUUCAAAUUUCCUGAUAAUUUACUCACCCCCAUGUCCCCCAUGUCAUCCUCUACACCAUCCCAGUUUCAGUGGAUAAGACCCUUUUUCCUCGUCUGGCAUCGUGUAGAGCCCUUUGAAGCUGCACUGAAAUUACAAUUUGGACCUUCAACCUGUUGGUAACCAUUGAAGUCCACUUUAUGGAGAAAAAUCCUGGAAUGUUUUCCUCAAAAACCUUAAUUUCAUUUUGGCUUAAGAAAGAAAGACAUAAACAUCUUGGAUGACAAGGGGGUGAGUAAAUUAUCAGGACAUUUUAAUUCUGAAGUGAACUAAUCCUUUAAGACAAACCAUGUGCAAACCAAUUCAUAAGUCAACACCAUUGCUGAGUAUUUUCUCCUUAAAACUAAUCAUAUUAAUUAGCGUUAUGUGUCUGAAGAUGUAAAAAGCAAUGCCAUUGUGCAGCGUUUACUUACAGUAAAGUUGACAGAGUGGAUCUCUGAGCUGGUAUGAGAGGAGGCGGGGCUAAUUUGCAUAUUCACGAUUUCAAAAUGCCCAGGUAUCCUAAUAAACAUGGUCGGUAUAUCUCUCAACGUAAAGAGUUGAGAAAGUAAACGUGUGUAUAUCAGUAUAUUGGAUCUGCGCAUUAGUCUUAAAGUGACAGCAGCCUAAUAUUCCUGCUGCUGUCUGUUUUUAAUGUUAAUCAAACAACAGACUCACUGCAUUAAAAAAAAAAAAAAAUCACUCAAUGCUCUUGACUGAAUAAGGUUUGUAACUUUAAUAUUCUAUAUUUAAUUUAUACAGUGCAGAAUAUGCAGUGCUUUUGAUUACUGUACCUACUCUACAUCUAACUACUGUUAGAUCUACAUGAAAAGCACUGUUUAUUUCAUUUAAAUCUGUUUUCUUUUGUGUUUAUUUGUGCUAUUGUUUGAUUAUUUGACCUUAUUUUAUUACAGACUGUUUAGUUGACUUUAAUACUGUUUGAAAUUUAUAUUUAUGUAGAAUUUUUUCAUUUGCAUUGUUCUUGUAUUCCAUGUAAAAAGUCUGGCGAAUAAUACUAGCCAAUGGUGACUCGAGUUUGCCCGGUUUAACAGACAAAGCCUAGUCCCAGACUAAAAUGCAUGUUUGAGCCUUUUUAACUGAAAGUAUCAUAUCUUAAAAUAUGUCAGAGCCAUUGUUUUGUCUCAAGAUGCACAUCAGUAAUGUUUAUAAAAGCUACUUAAACGUCCUAAUUGAACUAAGGCCUAAUCCUGGCUUAAUCUAAGCCCUGUUUGUGAAACCAUAAUAUUUUGUAUUUUAACUGCUAAAUUAAAAUUAACAAUAUGAAA